GCUAAGGGAUGCCUCUGCGUUCCAAAGGACUGUGUCUGACAAGGGCGUGCAGAGUCUGUGGGAGCCACACCCACCCCGCCCUUUCGGCAGAUUAGUUAAUUAUUGAAAAGUGCUUCGGAAGCACAAAAGGCUGGAGAGAGUCCAUGGGCCAGUGGCUCAGCCCUGUGUGGGAGGUGGCAUUUCUGAGACACGGAGGCUCCUCUGGGAGGCUGUGGAACAAGAAAGAGUUCUUCCCUGUCGCGGUGCGGUCGUCUCAGGAUUUGUCCCGGGAAACAGAGACGAUUCCAGGGAAUUCUUAUACAGUGCAUGCUAUCUCCAGAGAGAAGCUAAGUUUAUUUUGUGAUAGGAUUUGUAAGAUAUUUAGAUAAACGAGCCACAGCAGAUUUUAGUUCUGUUUUCUUGUUUUAAAUUUGGUUUGUUUUAAAAGUUUACAUUCCGGUCAUUUAUACAUAAACAAACUCAUCUAAUAUGUUCUGUUCUCUGACAUACCUUUUUUUUUUUUAACUUAACAAUGUUCCUUGCCGUUUUUUUCUGUGUUAGUACACAGAGACUCCCCUCAUUUUCUUUAAUGGCUGCAUUCUUUCCAGAUUGUGGAUACAUAGGCGGUUUGCUAUUUUUCAGCAUCACAAACAAUACUACAGCAAAUGUUCUGGUACACAAAUUCGUGUGCUUAUUGCACAAAUAGUUCUGAAGGAUAUAUUCCUAGAAGUAGAAUUUCUGGACCAAAAGGCAUGCACACUUGAGUUUUGGGUAAAUAACACCAAAGCUUCUCCCCCAAAAUUCUGUUCUAAUUUACAAAGACACCAGAAUACUCAACAACACUGAACAUUAUCAAUUUAAAAAAAAAAUUGCCAGCAUCAUAUGCAGAAAAAGCUGUGUCAUUUAAAAUUGCAUUUCUCUCAUUUACCAGUUUUAUUGUGUAUCUUUUCAUAUGCCUGUUGACCAUUUGGAUUUGGGGGAGCAUUUUCUUGAAGUAUAAAAAUAUAGAAAAGUAUACAAGUCACAGGUAUACUACUGAAAGAAUUAACACAAUGUGAGCUCUUCUGGUAACCACCACCCAGGUCAAGAAAUAGAAUAUUAUCAGACCUUUUCCCCCUUCUCCCAAAGUAAUCACUAUCCUGUAAUAUGACCCCUAUAGAUAAGUCGUGCCUAUUUCUGACCUUCAUACAACAUGUGCUCAUGUCUGGCUUCCUUCAUUCAACAUGACGAGCCAUUCACGAGCUUGCUUGAAGCUGUAAUGUAUUCAUUUCCAUUGCUUGUUAUAGUCCAUUAUGUAAAUAUACCACAGUUUAUUUAUUGAUGGACACUGGAUUCUUUUCAACUUUUAGCUGUUAGCGAAUGAUGCCAUGAACAUUCUUGAGCGUGUGUGUUGGAACACGUGCAUACACUUAUGUUGUGUAUAUAUCUAGGGAUGAAAGUUUGGAGUCAGGGGUAAUAUUAUCAACUUGGCCAAUUAUAUUUGUGAAUUUCCUACGACUAUUCCUUGUACAUGAAUUAUUGAGUGGUUGGUUUGUGUUCUCUUUAUGCUGGAUGUUAAUUCUGUGUUAUAGCUAUUGUAAAUAUUUUUUCCGUGUCUUUAUUCAUACUGACUUUUAUUUCACAAAGUUUAAAAUUUGUAUGCAGUCAAAGCUAUAAAUCUUUUUCUUUAUGGUUUCUGAGUUUUAUAUCUUGCUUAGAAAGUCCUUCCCUAUCUCAAGAUUGUAAAAUUUUUUCUUAUGUUUCCUUUUAUUACUCAUUUUGAUUUUCACAUUAGGCUUUUUAAUCAGUCUGAAAUUUAUGAGGGUGAGAGACAGAGGCUAAUUUAUUAUCCAACACUUAGGGCACGAAUAAAAUUAUGCCAUUUGCUGCCUAGAUUUUUAAAUAUUUAUUUUAAAAAAUUUCAAGACAGGUGAUAACAUCAAAGAGCUAAGAAACUGUCAAAAAUUAAAGUUAUUUUUUUUACUUUGAAGUAGUUUCCCCUAAUAUAAGCCUGUUAGAUUUUUUUUUUAAUAAACAUUUAUUUAUUGGCUGUGCUGGGUCUUUGUUGCUGUGUGUGGGCUUUCUCUAGUUGUGGUGAGCAGGGGCUACUCUUUGUUGCAGUGCACGGGCUUCUCCGUGCCGUGCUGCUCUUGUUGUGGAGUGCCGGCUCUAGGCUGUGGGCUUCAAUAGUUGCAGCACGCGGGCUCUAGAGCAUAGGCUCAGUAGUUGUGGCGCACAGGCUUUGUUGCUCCAAGGCAUGUGGGAUCUUCCAGGACCAAGGCUCAAACCCAUGUCCCCUGCAUGGCAGGCAGAUUCUUAACCACUGCACCACCAGGGAAGUCCACCUCAGUUAGAUCUUAAAUGGGGCAAAUGUUGUGUAUCAGUGGUUGCCAUCCCAAAUGCCAUGCAUAUAAAUGGUCAGUGACUAUUUAUUCAUUUACUGUGUAUUUAUGGAACUUUAAAGUGUGGUUCUUAUGGACUUUGGUAUCUAAUGAGGAGGAAGACUCCAUUCUGGAAUCUUCAAGGUAGCCUGACGCACACUGGAUUUGGGUUGUAAGGCCAGGAAUACCACAGCUGCUUCUUCCCUCCUAAGGCCCCAGGGCCCCUCAAUCUGAGUAGAUGCCCGGAAGAAGGUUAGGUGCUCUGAGCCCAUCCUCGAUGUAGAAAGGGGUCCAGUUCAACCUUUAUCACAGAUGCCCAGGGGCAGCUUUUGUUUGUAAACAUGACUUCCUCAAACAAGGCUGCCCACUAGAGGGAAACUAUUUUCUUGACCGUCUGGAUGAUGGGUGUAGGGUCCCCCGUGGGAGAAGUGUGCUUGAACUCGGUCUGUUCUCCCCCGUGGUCUGAAACGGAGCACUGGCUCGUCGUGCCUGUCAGCCAGCGGCGCUGAGCACGGGCUCGUCCGGUUGUUCGAAGACUUUCCGGUUGCUCACAGCGUGAGCUGCUUUUAUUCGGUUCACCUCUCCUCGUUGCUACCUUCUUCCUUGCACGUUUUUGGGAACGCUGAUUACUCGUGAUUUAGUUAACAUGGUACAGGACUGGAGCUUGAGCUGGGAUGAGGAGACGAAACAUCCCCCCGGCCUGACGAAGAGCUUGGUUUAAGGCUGGUGAACUGCACGUUCAACAGUGCACCGUCUGAGCUGGUUUGCUGGGAAAUUGCUCUGCUGGCCAAGCGCCAAAAAUAUAUAAUCAAAAGUGGCCUGAAAUCGCUCAUUUUGCUGCUUGCCUUCUUAGUGUCACAGUUUAAAGAUGUGGCUGGUGCCUGUGCUGAAAGCGUGGAAUUUUCUCCUGUUCGUGGCACAUGGCCUUGGGUGCGUGUGCACGCGUGCGCGGGGUGUGCGUGGGCUUGUCCACGCAGGCGUGGUUUCAGCUGAACGAUUUAUCCCUACAGGCGGGCAGUGAUUCAAGAUCACAGAGUAUGGCCGGUUGUCUUUGCUUUCCAGAAUUGCCCAUCUGGAUUUGUAGGUUAGCGUCUUUGGAGGAAUACGAUGGACCAUCCUGCGUGUGCGUGUAACUGGUCCCCCAGGCAGAGGACCGCGCCUCGGAAAUAUCUGAGGGUAACUUACUGAGAAGAAGUCAACCUGCCAUUUUUUGGAGGAACAGGUAUAUUUGACCACACAUUAGGGGAAGUGAAGACCUGAGCUUUGAGGAAGUCAAGUGUGAGGCCCUCAGAGGUGGUUAUUUAUAUCAGAGUGAUGCGUAUUGAGAGCCGAAGACUUUCCUUCCACCCGCAUCACAGAACUAAUUUAGAGAAGAGGAAGGGCGUGCGUUUUGUCUUGUUAAAUAUCGACCGCGAUGAGAGCGUCUGGUGUGGGCCAGACUUCUCGUGGUCCAAGCACGGGCUCCGUUGUAGACAAAAGGGUGCUUACACGCUCUUGCUUCAGCCACUUCGUGGAUCAAAUGGCUCACUUCCCACUGGUUGGUAGAUGUGUGACUUGAUUCUGGCUUCCUUUCCUGAGAUGGGCCCCCCCGCCCCGCCCCCAUCCCUGCCGUGUGAGCAGCCUGGUGUGCAUGUUUGGGGGGGAGGGGAGAAAGGACCUUACAUUCCCUCUCAGCUCUAAAUGAGACAGCCACCCAAAACCAUGCAUUAGAAACUCUAGUGCUCGCUAUUAUAGCAACUGAGGUCUCUUGUAAGGAGCUUCCAUUUCUAAGUCUCCUGAAUUGUAAAGUCCCCUCCCCCACCCCCGCCACUUAGGCUCUUUCGGUUAUGGGAAAUGAAUGUGUUUUAGGACCAACAUGUCAGAAUUAUGAGGAAGAAACUUGGCAGUGGAACAAACUAUGCGAUAUGCUUGACAAGAACCGAGAAACAAUACAUCUCAGGUUUUCUGCAGCAGUCUUCCAUUUUUGGCUCAGAAAUGUGACCCGGAAGCCACACACAGGGAAGCAUCUUUGCAGCACCAUUAGGGUCACAAAGAGUUAGUCUCGACUAAGGAACCAGCAGAGGAUGUUUCUCCACAGAAAGACGAGGUGUCUGUAGGAGGAGAACUUAGUCCUGCUUCCACCAGGAGUAGGUGGAAAUUGGAAAAAGAGAACUUGUGAUCCUUUGCUUCAAAUGAGAAGACCAAGGUGCAGAACCCCCAGAAGGAUGGAGCCGUGAGGCAAUGUGAGGUGGCGGGAAACAUGAGCAUGUUUAUAUAAAUGUCCAGCCCCUUCUGGGCUUGCGUAAUCCCAGUCCUUUGGAGUUUGCCUUUUACGAGGGUAAACAUGGUUUAAUAGUGAGCAAAUAUGAGUUCACAUAAUUAAAACCUGUUGAGUCGAACAGGAAACGUUCACGGGAAACCUGCAGCUGCCUACAAGCAAGGGUGGCUCUGGAAGGAUGUUGGUAUGUCGGUGCCUUCUCUCCCAAGGGGAGUGUCCCUGGAAUGAAGCUUCCAAAGACAGGAGAGGAAACAGCUUGUAAAAAUUGGAGCAGCCUGGAAGGGUUCUGAACUGAUUGAUAAGCUGCUAGCCUUGGGGAGAGUGUAAAAGGCAUCUGGGAUAUUUGCAUUUUUGUUUAUUGAAGGGCGGAAGGCGUCUCACAACUCCCUGUCUUCCUAAUUCAUUCAGGACACGAUAUUUCCAAGACUCCUGCCGUCUCGGGGUUUGAAUCUGUUUCCAGCCUCACUCCAGGUUUCACCACACAUGUAUGUUAAAAAAAGAUGGUUCCAAUAAGAUUUAAGAAAGAAAAGCCACCUUGGCUUCUAAAAAUCCAGUUUUGCUCUGGCAUUGUGUUUUCUUCCUGGAGGAGGCCACGUGAUCUCUCCCCCCUCACCAUCCUGCACUCUCGUCAUUCCAAGGCCUGGUCACCACCAGACAGAAGCCCUUGUCCUCAGGCUUUCAGUGGUGAGAGGAGGGCCUUGCUCAGCUCCAGAGUGGAGACAAAUGGAUGUGUAACUUACCAUAAUCUGUGGCAAGAAAUGAUACACGCCAGGAGAGAAAAAUAAACAAAGCGCUGUGGAAAAUUAAUCUUAUUAGGGAGAUGUGUUUGUGGUGACAUUUGAAAUGAGCCUGAAAAAUGAGUAGGAUUGUAACAGAUGGUAAAGAGUGUCACUGGCAUUACUACGGUAUUAACUUUCAAUAGUAUCUAAACGAAUCUGAAUCUGUUCAGAACUCUAGAAGCUUUUGUGAGUCCUGGUCUGGGCACACUGCUUGGCUGGCAGUAGCACCCCAACCAGCCUCUGGAGGACCAUCUUUCUCCCAUUCUCAACCUAAGUGGUUUGAAUGGAGCUGACCCCAUCUCCUGGCUUCAGGCUUAGGCAUGUGACCCCAACUAGCCAAUAACAGAACCAUGUUCCCUUAGCACAGUGAUUGGUUCAGGGGUGAGCAUGUGACCCAAGUUGGUCCAUUCCUGGAGCUUUUUCUGGAACCACUGGGAAAAAGACAUCCUCUUUCUGCUGGGGUUGCUGAGCUGGUGCGUUGGUAUUUAGGAGCUGCAAGGGGCCCGUUGUGUUACCACAGAGGGAGAACCUGAGAGAUGGAGAGAUUCCUGAGCACCUGGAGCCAGUUGUGCCUGAAACCCUACUUUGAACUUUUUAGUCACUCAAGGCAAUAAAUUCACUUUUUAAUAAGCCAUUUUGUGUUUUUCCCUUGCAAACAAAAAUGCCCUAACCAAUACAGAAAAUUUUAGGUAGUCUGCUUAAACAAACAAACAGAAAACCCGAGUGGGGCAAGGGGAGUCGCAGGUUGACAGAGCAGUUUCCUAGCAAAAAAGAAAUCUUCCUGUUGCUAAUAUUUCCAGGUCCCAGUGACUAAGGAUUUGGAGACUUUAUUCUUACCCCCCUUGGUCUGAGACUGCUCACCAAUCUGACUCCUGUGUGCUGGAUAUUUUUCCAUGAAUCAGAAAUAAAAUAUGCAACACUGUAGCCACCAAGCCAUGAAAACAGCUCAUUUGCCUUUCCUGUCUCUCUAAGCUUUGUUUUUUUCUGGGUUACACUGUUGUAAGUGAAGAGUCAUAAUGAUAAUCUUGUUUGGAUUUAUUAACAGUUGAAUAGACUAAUGAGAAAAUAUUUAUAAAUCAUUAGAAGCAAAUUCACCACAGAAGCAUUGCAGACAGAGAGUGGGACAAUUGCCUUGAGCCAACUGAUUCUCUGCCCCUUCAGGGAAAAUUCUUAGAUGUUUGAAUUAAGUGCCACAUCUGGAAAUGCAGAAAGAUAAUUGCUUUCAUUGCGUGCUUAUUAUGUCCUUGGUAGGAAGAACAGUAUUGUGCCUACAUUCUCUGAAUUUCAUCAGCUCUAUGAGGUAUGUCCUAAUCCUGUUUUACAGGUGGGGACUGAGAUAGACACUACCAGUUGCUACCCAACAUCCAUCCCCUCCUUAUUCCUUACAGAAAGAUAACUCCAAGCAGUUACUGCUUCUAGUGCAAAGCUUAGGAUCCAUGGGCAAUCACUGCAGACAUUUAUCCUUUUGCAAACAUUUUAUCACGUCUCUCCUGCAGCUGUGGAUGGCUAUGUGCUACAGUUCUGGCCAGUAAGACUUGAGUAGAAGUCUUCUGAGGAUUUCUGGGAAAGUGUUGCUGUCCUUAUAUGGACAUUACCCCUUCCUCCUUGUUCCUUCCUUCUCCAUGCUUGGAACAUGGGUAAGAGGCUGGUGGCGGAGCAGCCACUUUGUGACCUUGAGGCAACCGUAAGGAGGACGGCCGUGUCCUAAGGGUGGUGAAGCAGGAAUACAGAAGGAAACUGGAUGUUCUGACAUGGUAAAGCCUCUCUUUCUGCUCCAGAAGGCCUACUUUCAGACUCGUUGUAUGAAAAAAUAAACCAUUAUUUAGUUAACCCAGUGAGGUUGGGUUUCUGCUGCAGACAACUGAAUUCUAUCCAUAACUGACACAGGGAAACGGAGCUAAAGAAGUUUAAGGACCGUGCUCACAUUUCCAUGUAAAGUGGUAUCUCAAAGCUGAAUGAGACAUAAUACCCAGCCUUAAAGAGUUCAAGCCUAGUUUGGGAGGCAGAUACAUAAAAAAUCAUAGUAUAAGGUCAUUAGUAUAAUGAUGUGAUUUGCCUAGGUAUCAUGGAUGCCUACGAGAGAGAGAGAGAGUGUCAGAAGUGGAACAGGAGUUAGCCGGGCAAAGGAGACAGGUGGGAAAAGAGAUUAUAGCUUGAAUACAAGGUACAGAAGUCAGAUGCAGCAUAGCGUAUGCAAAGCUGCUAGGAGCUGUUGAAGCAUAACGUAUGAGGCAGGCAGUGGUGAGAAAUGCAGCGGGAGGGGUGUUUCAUUUUGAUAUUGCAUAGUAAGCCACCCUCAACACUUAGUGGCUUGAACUACAUUUUAUCAUUUCUCAUAAUUCUGCAAUCUGAGCUGAGUUCAGCUGGGUGGUUCUUCUGUUCACGGAGUAUCUGUUGGGGUUGGAAUAUCCAAGGAGCCUUCUUAACUACCAAGUUUGGUGCCUUGGCUGGGAUACAUGGAAGAGCUCGGGCUGGCUAGGCCUCUCUCUCCCUAGCCUCUUCAUGUGGCUAAGCUAGGUCUUCCUCACUGCAUGAUGAUCUCAGGGUCCCUGGCAGAUGGCUUCCAACUGAGAGGAAGAGGAAGCUUCCAGCACAUUUAUGGUCUGGGUUCAGAAGUACCAGAACAUUACUUCCACUGCACUCUGUUGAUCAAAGCAAGUUGCAAGACCAGCCCUGAGUCAGGGAGAGGAAGUAGCUUCUACUUCUUGAUGGGAGGAGCAGUUUGCACAUACAGGGAGAGAUGAAUCCUCUUUGGAGACCAACUACCACAGAGGUAAGAAGGGUGCAGAUGAAGGACACCCUUGUCUGCUUGUCAGGGAGGUUGAUGUGAACACCAGACCUGGGGGGUUAACCUUGUUUCAUAUUUGGGGUCAGAAAGGAAAACACCUCUCAAACUGCCCCAGCUUAUCAGAGUGAGACGGAGCAGCAUGGUUAGGCAAAGAAGGGCUGGAGCUGGGCUUCUCUGAACCCCCUUCAGUUCCUAUAUCUCAUGGGAGAUGGCUGAGUUGAGAAUCAGAGAGCCUACUAUGGGGUCUGCAGUGCUGAAGGGCAGGGGGAGCCCACAGCAAAGGCUGGCCUCUCGGGUCGGGCUGAGGGGGAGGAUAGCAGAGCAUCCCUGCGGUCAGAGGGGCAGGGGACGCUGAACAGGCUGAGUCCAGCCACCCCGCAGCGGGAAUCAGUGAGGAUGUGGAGGAUGUGGUCGGGAUUCAAGCACCUUUCUUCUACCCUCCCAACCCUCACCCACAGGGUCACAAAACACAGCACCCCCCCACCCAGUGCGUUACGCAGGCAUCACACUAGAGAGCAGCAAGGAGGAGAGACACCUGAGAGCCUGAAAAUGUGCCUGGAGGGACAACCUUUUAAAGGGUCUCUUCAUAGCAUUUCCUGGACUUCACUGACAUCGCAGCGGCAAGAGAGGCUCAUAAGGAAGAAUGACAAGUUAUCCUGAAAUAAAGAAGCCACGUUAGGGAAAAUUACAAAGACAUCACAGGAACCAUGGCAGACGCAGAACGGCAGUUACCUCUGCGGGAGAGGCGGUGGCGGGGGGCCCGUGGGGAGCUGCGGCUGUCCUAGAGAUAAGGCUUUGUCUCUAAAGUUAGGGGAUGGGGAUGUCUGUUAUUAUAGUCUUUAUGCCUCUUUGUGGGUUUUAAAUAGUUUGUAAUGUAACUUUUUUAAAAAGCUGCCAUUCUGAAUAGAAUUGUGAGCCGCCAAUGCCAAGUUUAGGCUGCGAACAUAUUGCCUGGGAGUGGGAACAUAGAAGGAGGCUUGACGUGGCGUUAGAUUUGCUUGCUUGAAAAAUCACCCGGGGUUGGACUUGAGGAGGACAAGAGAGGAGGCCAGGGAGGAGGCCAGGGAGGAGGCCGCCACGCCAAUCCCCUGAAAGGUGAGGGUGAGCUGACGUCCCAGGUGGUGGUUACGGUGGCUUAGGAGUCAGGCUGGUAAUGGGGACUUGGUAACUGAGAAGAUGGGGGUGAGGGUAGGCAGGGCUUCUGGUGUGAGUGAGCAGGGACGGCCACUCACACUGACUGAGAUAAGAGACUCCAACUGGAGGGCACAUUUAGAUGGAAAGGUGAAGAGCUCACUCAGCACAGGCUGGGUUUGAGAUGCCCGUGGGAUGUCCUGGUGGGGGGUGGAUGCGUGAGUCUGGACCCCAGGGAAGAGAUCUGGGAAACCCCAGCACGGAUGCAGGUUGGAGCUGGAGAGGCAGGUGAGAUGGCCUGACGGGGAGCUGUUAGGAGAGCAGCAAAGAGGACCCAGGACAGAUAAGCGCAGCACCCACUCGGCCAGAGACACCCCCUUGCCAUCCCCGCUGGUGAGCAGAAAGAAGCACCCCACCACCGCCACCAGAUGCUCUGGCCGGUUCCCCUCUCUGGCCUCCCCCUGUGGGGCCCCACCCAUCCUGCCCCUGCCUGGGGCAUUCUCUAUGUGCUGUUCUGGUUUGCCUGCCUGGGGCAUUGCUUUCCUUUCCCUCCAGAAUUAGUAAAAGGGCCAGAGAGUAAGGCUCCCUCCAUAACCAGAUCUGGAUUGAGAUCCUCACCCAGGAAGCAGAAGGCCCAGCAACCCCCGUGGGCCUGUCUCCUUAAGGACAGAGCCCAGAAAGAGCCAAUCCUGGAGCCUCCUCUGAAGGAAGGGCCUUGUGGAGGAAGAGAAUACAAGACUGGUGACCGCCGGCCCCUCCCCUUCAGUCUCCCACCUUCCUUUAGUUUUUGUUAUGAUGAAUGCAAGACAGUGUCAGCCUUUGUUUGUCCUUGUUGACUACCUAAGCAUCCUAUUUUCUACCUAGCCCCUGUCUUCUUGAGCUGGAAAUCUCUGUUUCUUACAAUUUGAAUUGUGAUGUGAAGUUUAGACUCUGAUUUGGGCAGGGAUGGCUCUGAGCUUUAGGGGAAAAAGUGUUUCUGUCUCAAAUGGGAAUUGAGAGAAUUUGGGAAAAGUCAAAACCACAAAGUUGCAUUUCAGAAAUAUCAAUCUCUCAAGGCAUUUCUCCCCAAACCUAGAAAUAUGUUGAAAUAUGAAAAUAUAUUGGAGGGAAUGUUAAAGGGUUUUGCUUUUCCAAAAGCAACCCUAUGCUCAAAAAUAAUACAGCUAUGAAAGAAAAUAAUCAAAAAAGGCAAAUUUUCAUACAGAACACAUUUUAAGGAGUCAGUUUAAUGCCAAAGCGUUGUGGCAUCUAUCUACUCGGAGAUUUUAGAGCUGCUUUCAGAGUGGUUUGCUUACCAGCCCUUUGGAACUCACUUGUAUAAACCAUAACCUUCUGCUCUAAAAUAUAUGCCAAGAAGAACAGGUGUGUGCAAAUAAGCAAUCUCUAGUCUACGAUCUUUCUUUUCACCCAAUAAUUGGCUUUUCAUCAAACUGUGCAGGAGGCACCCAAAGGUCCGUUGGCGCGCUCCUCUGCCUCCAGACUGAACAUCCACCAUCUCAGAGAGCUGCUCCCCGCUUUGGUGUUUGGCUUCCUUUCCUUGAGCAUCUGAUCGUUUCUGAUGUGCCUUCUAGCUCUUGGGACCCCCACUGCCAUCGCUCCUAUUCUGGGCUUGUCCUUGGGGGAUGGUAACCCUGCCCCAGUCCUUCAGUCUGUCCUUAUUCGGGGCCAGGAUCCUUCACCUGGGGGGAGGCUGUGCUGCUGAACCCGGGUUGGAAGUGGUGCUUUUCUCAGGUAAUAUAUUUGCGUUUUUAAUAGGAGUCUUCUGGGAGAAAAAGUGUUCACUUCCAAGCAUUAAAACCAGCUGGGUGUGUGUGUGUGUGUGUGUGUGUGUGUGUGUGUGUGUGUGUGUGUGUGUGUGAUGGGAAGGAGAGAGAAGAGGAAAAGGACGACGAGGAGGAAGAGUGGCCACCCUUUAUCACUGCAGUGAGGGGACACAGAGAAUACCCGGAGAUGACCGCUGCUACUCUCUCGGUGUAUAUCCGCCCAGGCACCUAUGUUACAGGGCUGGAGCUACCUCAGUUUAGCCUGCAAGAGGUUCUACUGCCUUCCAACCUGUCACUGUGUUUCUCAAAACCACGAAAAGUGCCGACUGAAUUGGAUUCUCCGGAUGGGGGGCAGGAAUCUGCGAGGUGGGGAGGAGCAGGUGUUUUUGUCUCUAGCAGGACAACAAGUCACCUCAUUAUCAUUGUUUGCUCGGCCUUGUGUGUGCUGUUCAUUGCUAACUGAGGCCUGCAAUGCUGUCCAAGGGGUCUGAACUGUGCAAGAAAAGUUCAGAAGAACUGAGAGAGAAGAGAGAACUGAGAAAGAAGUCACUGCCUUGGCCUCAGUCACCUGUCCCCAGGCAAGAUCACACCCUGUCAUCUACAAAGAUUUGGAGACCAGCCCACACUCAGCUAUUUUUGACCACAGUCCUUGUCGCCCUAGGCUCUUACCCAUGGGACCGAGAACGUUAACGCCAGGAAGAAGUUAGAAACUGAUGUUGAAGAACAGACUUGUGUUGGAAAGAACUAGUUCCAGGGAGACUGGUGAAUGGAGAAGGGCAAGUACAAAUGGGGUCUGACUAGAGCAUGCCAGAGAAGACGUUCAAGUGUGCCAUGAGUUGAACUGAAGCCAAGAUUCUAAUGAAAGACGAAGGUGUUCCUAUAAAAGUCAGCAGGUGCUCAACAAAUGCUUCUCGGCUGGAUAAAUCAGAAGAUGUUGGUCAGGAGAUCCUUGGCAGGUGGAGGGCAGGGUGAGGGGGCGGCCAACUUGGGUUGUUAAAGGUCUGCAGAGAGAGUGAUUGCAGCUUGAACCAGGGUGUCUCUUUGGAGGAGCAGGUACCAAGCAAAAGAACUGAACACAGAAGCCAGGCUUGGUUGUUAAGUGGGGCAGAAACUGCUAAUUGCCUACCCAGUAUCUACUCUCUCCUUUUUCCUUCAUAACAAGACCCACAUGUUAAACUGGAUGACAAUAUGCCCAGCUGGAAGGCUACAUUUGUCAGACACAUUUGCUGCUGGGUUGGCCGUUGAGAUACAAGCAGAAGUUGUUGGGUUGAUCUUCUGUGAAGACUCUUUAAGAGGGGCUAGACUACUGAUAUACUGGUUUUUUGUUUUGUUUUGUUUUGUUUUGUUUUGUUUUGUUUUGUUCCCUUUCUCCCUUCUGCCUGUGCUUUCCUGAAACAGGAAGAUCAAUGUGAUGGCUGGAGCUCUAGCUGCCACAUUGGACCAUGAAGUGAAUUCAAGAUGGAAGCCAUAUACUAAGGAUGGCAGAACAAGAAGAGGAAACCUGGAACUCUGAUGACACUGUAGCUCCUACACCAGCCAGAAUCCAGCCUUAUUUUGUAUGAGAGAGAAAUAAGCUUGUAUCUUAUUGAAAUCACCGUUAUUUCCUCCUUCACUUGGGACAUCACAAGCCUAGGGAAACUUUGAGAGGCUUUGAAAGUGUGAAAAAUGAAGGAUUUUAUUUGUUUUUUGGCAUCUUUAUUCUUUUAAGUUAAAUAAGCUAUAAAAUAAAGGUGAUAUA